GAUGAACGCUGGCGGCGUGCCUAAUACAUGCAAGUCGAGCGAACAGACGAGGAGCUUGCUCCUCUGACGUUAGCGGCGGACGGGUGAGUAACACGUGGAUAACCUACCUAUAAGACUGGGAUAACUUCGGGAAACCGGAGCUAAUACCGGAUAAUAUAUUGAACCGCAUGGUUCAAUAGUGAAAGACGGUUUUGCUGUCACUUAUAGAUGGAUCCGCGCCGCAUUAGCUAGUUGGUAAGGUAACGGCUUACCAAGGCGACGAUGCGUAGCCGACCUGAGAGGGUGAACGGCCACACUGGAACUGAGACACGGUCCAGACUCCUACGGGAGGCAGCAGUAGGGAAUCUUCCGCAAUGGGCGAAAGCCUGACGGAGCAACGCCGCGUGAGGGAUGAAGGUCUUCGGAUCGGAAAACUCUUUUAUUAGGGAAGAACAAAUGUGUAAGUAACUAUGCACGUCUUGACGGUACCUAAUCAGAAAGCCACGGCUAACUACGUG
rnacentral:rRNA from 1 species